UUAGCGGCCGUCCCACUCCUCUUUGUCCAGGUCAUGUUCGGAAAAAAAGGGUUUCCAUGGGCCCAGAGCUUCCUGUGUCUGUCAGGCUCCUUCCAGAGUGGGAAGCAGAGUGCAGCUCUCCAGCCCACCUUGCUAUGUCCUUAGUUCCAGGAAACAUCUCUGGUGAGCAUAUGAGUGUGCCCUGGGUCCUCUGUGCGCGAAGGGCUGUCUCUGGGUCAAUGAUGUCUACGCGGUCUGGGCCUUGAAGAGAGGUGAUGACAUAAAAAUCCUGCUCAAUAGGAUUACGCUGAGGCCCACUGUGGGUGACAGAUUGGUGGCACCGUGCUGGGGAGUCUUAGGAUUCUCCCCAGCGUUGGGAUUGGGAGCUGGAGGCAGGCAGAUGCCUGAGAGGAUGCCACGUGCCUCUCCCCGAUCGCUUCCACGUGAUCGUAGCCUUCUCCACGUUCAGCGGUGUUUUUGGUGCCCAGUAGGACCUCCAAGAUGGCGGUACCAGAGGCCAACUCUUAAAACAAAACGUUUCUCCUCUGGUUGUGUCUUGCAGUGCGACCAUCUCUCCAGAUGGUGGUCGUGGCCUUCACGUCUCAGGUGAUGUUCCGAAAACAGUGGCCUUCAUUUGGCCUAGAGCUCUCCUGGGCUCUGUCUGUCAGGCUCCUUCCAGAGUCGGAACAGUGCAGCUGUCAAGCCCACCUUGCUCUGUCCUCAGCCCCAGGAAACAUCUCUGUGCGACCAUCUCUCCAGAUGGUGGUCGUGGCCUUCACGUUUCAGGUGAGUGGCUGACUUUUGUGUUGCACAGAGAGCUCGUGUGCAUGAGAGUCAGCAGGAGGCUCUCUUUGGGCAAGAGAGACCCUGGUCCUCUAU